AGGGACGUCGCCAAGCGGCCGAAGGCACCGGACUCCAAACCCGGCAUCGCAGGUUCGAAUCCUGCCGUCUCUG
rnacentral:tRNA from 1 species